rnacentral:rRNA from 1 species
UGNNNGUCGAGCGAAUGGNUUGAGAGCUUGCUCUCNNNAAGUUAGCGGCGGACGGGUGAGUAACACGUGGGUAACCUGCCCAUAAGACUGGGAUAACUCCGGGAAACCGGGGCUAAUACCGGAUAAUAUUUUGAACUGCAUGGUUCGAAAUUGAAAGGCGGCUUCGGCUGUCACUUAUGGAUGGACCCGCGUCGCAUUAGCUAGUUGGUGAGGUAACGGCUCACCAAGGCAACGAUGCGUAGCCGACCUGAGAGGGUGAUCGGCCACACUGGGACUGAGACACGGCCCAGACUCCUACGGGAGGCAGCAGUAGGGAAUCUUCCGCAAUGGACGAAAGUCUGACGGAGCAACGCCGCGUGAGUGAUGAAGGCUUUCGGGUCGUAAAACUCUGUUGUUAGGGAAGAACAAGUGCUAGUUGAAUAAGCUGGCACCUUGACGGUACNNNNNCAGAAAGCCACGGCUAACUACGUGCCAGCAGCCGCGGUAAUACGUAGGUGGCAAGCGUUAUCCGGAAUUAUUGGGCGUAAAGCGCGCGCAGGUGGUUUCUUAAGUCUGAUGUGAAAGCCCACGGCUCAACCGUGGAGGGUCAUUGGAAACUGGGAGACUUGAGUGCAGAAGANGAAAGUGGAAUUCCAUGUGUAGCGGUGAAAUGCGUANAGAUAUGGAGGAACACCAGUGGCGAANGCGACUUUCUGGUCUGUAACUGACACUGANGCGCGAAAGCGUGGGGAGCAAACAGGANUAGAUANCCUGGUAGUCCACNCCGUAAACGAUGAGUGCUAAGUGNUA